rnacentral:rRNA from 1 species
UGGUUGCGCCCCCGAUAUUUUGUGUCAGUCGCCGUUAAUUCCCAAGAGUUUUAACCGUGCGGGAGUACUCCCCAGGCCGUGAAGAUAAAGCGUUCGCUACGGCAGAGAGUGGACCAAACCGCCCCACACCGAGUGCACAACGUUUACGGCUGGGACUACCAGGGUAUCUAAUCCUGUUUGCUCCCCCAGCUUUCGUCUCUCAGGGUCAGGUACAGGCCAGAGAGCUGCCUUCGCCAUUGGUGUUCCUCCAGAUAUCUAUCGCAUUCCACCGCUACACCUGGAAUUCCACUCUCCUCUCCUGUCCUGUCGUCGAGCACGCCAGUUUCCAGUGGCUGUUCGGGGUUGAGCCCCGAAAUUUCACACCGGACUUGGCACGCCCCCUACAGACUCUUUACGCCCAGUAAUUCCGAAUAACGCUCGCCACCUACGUGCUUACCGCGGCUGCUGGCACGUAGUUAGCCGUGGCUUCCUCUCGCCGGUACCGUCAUUGAUUCGUCCCGGGUGACAGCAGUUUACAACCCGAGGGCCUUCAUCAUGCACGCGGCAUUGCUCCGUCACGCUUUCGCGCAUUGCGGAAGAUCCUCGACUGCAGCCAAAAAUCCUCGACUGCAACCA